GGCAGGAGUACGGAUACGGGCGUAAGCGCACGCAGGCGGUCUGUCAGUCGGAUGUGAAAUCCCCGGGCUCAACCUGGGAACUGCAUUCGAAACUGGCAGGCUAGAGUCUUGUAGAGGGGGGUAGAAUUCCAGGUGUAGCGGUGAAAUGCGUAGAGAUCUGGAGGAAUACCGGUGGCGAAGGCGGCCCCCUGGACAAAGACUGACGCUCAGGUGCGAAAGCGUGGGGAGCAAACAGGAUUAGAUACCCUGGUAGUCCACGCCGUAAACGAUGUCGACUUGGAGGUUGUGCCCUUGAGGCGUGGCUUCCGGAGCUAACGCGUUAAGUCGACCGCCUGGGGAGUACGGCCGCAAGGUUAAAACUCAAAUGAAUUGACGGGGGCCCGCACAAGCGGUGGAGCAUGUGGUUUAAUUCGAUGCAACGCGAAGAACCUUACCUACUCUUGACAUCCAGAGAACUUUCCAGAGAUGGAUUGGUGCCUUCGGGAACUCUGAGACAGGUGCUGCAUGGCUGUCGUCAGCUCGUGUUGUGAAAUGUUGGGUUAAGUCCCGCAACGAGCGCAACCCUUAUCCUUUGUUGCCAGCGGUCCGGCCGGGAACUCAAAGGAGACUGCCAGUGAUAAACUGGAGGAAGGUGGGGAUGACGUCAAGUCAUCAUGGCCCUUACGAGUAGGGCUACACACGUGCUACAAUGGCGCAUACAAAGAGAAGCGACCUCGCGAGAGCAAGCGGACCUCAUAAAGUGCGUCGUAGUCCGGAUUGGAGUCUGCACUCGACUCCAUGAAGUCGGAAUCGCUAGUAAUCGUAGAUCAGAAUGCUACGGUGAAUACGUUCCCGGGCCUUGUACACACCGCCGUCACACCAUGGGAGUGGGUUGCAAAAGAAGUAGUAGCUUAACCUUCGGGAGGGCGCUUACCACUUUGUGAUUCAUGACUGGGGUGAGUCUACGG
rnacentral:rRNA from 1 species